rnacentral:rRNA from 1 species
UACGUAGGGUGCGAGCGUUGUCUGGAAUUAUUGGGCGUAAAGGGCUCGUAGGCGGUCUGUCACGUCGGGAGUGAAAACACGGGGGCUUAACCCCCGUGCCUGCUUCCGAUACGGGCAGACUAGAGGUAUGCAGGGGAGAACGGAAUUCCCGGUGUAGCGGUGAAAUGCGUAGAGAUCGGGAGGAACACCAGAGGCGAAGGCGGCGACCUGGACAGUGACUGACACUCAACUGCGAAAGCGUGGGGAGCAAACAGG